rnacentral:rRNA from 1 species
UACGUAGGGCGCAAGCGUUGUCCGGAAUUAUUGGGCGUAAAGAGCUCGUAGGCGGUCUGUUACGUCCGCUGUGAAAACCCAGGGCUUAACCCUGGGCUUGCAGUGGAUACGGGUAGACUAGAGGCAGGUAGGGGAGAAUGGAAUUCCCGGUGUAGCGGUGAAAUGCGCAGAUAUCGGGAGGAACACCAAUGGCGAAGGCAGCUCGCUGGGACGGUACUGACGCUGAGGCGCGAAAGCGUGGGGAGCAAACAGG